rnacentral:rRNA from 1 species
ACGUAGGUGGCAAGCGUUGUUCGGAAUUAUUGGGCGUAAAGGGUCUUGAGGUGGCUAACCAAGUCUACUGUGAAAACUCAGGGCUUAACCCUGAAGCUGCAGCGGAAACUAGUAAGCUUGAGUACGGUAGGGGCGGAGGGAAUUCUCGGUGGAGCGGUGAAAUGCAUAGAUAUCGGGAAGAACACCAAUGGCGAAAGCACUCCGCUGGGCCGAUACUGACACUCACAGACGAAAGCUAGGGGAGCGAAUAGGA